UUGAAGGAUUUGUAAGAAAUGUUUGAGGGAGUGUUUUAAGAUUCAGUUCCUUCAAACAUUUCUUACAGAUCCUUCAA